ensembl:lncRNA
CAGUAAUGGUAUUUUCAUUUACUCUCCUCUUUUUUUCUUAUUUUUCUAUACAGUGUUUGGAGACAUUUUAUGUGUGAAGUAUUACUUUGAAUCAAAUGUCAAACUCAUUCUAUAGAAGGCCGGGUUUCUGCAGGUUUUCACUCCACCCUUGAUUGAUGAAUUAAGGUCACUAAUUAGUUAGAAACUCCUCUCACCUGGUUGUCUAGGUCUUAAUUGAAAGGAAAAAACUAAAACCCGCAGACACUCGGCCCCCCAUGGAAUGAGUUUGACACCCCUGUAUUAAAUAAAUGUUGAUUUGACCAGGGGCCGUCUGCCAGGUCCUGACCACCAGGGUGGGAGACAUCCUGAACAGUACCUGCAACGACGAUUGCAAGGCCAGGCUCAUCAUCCAGAAAGGUACACUUAUAACCUGUUUUACCCAUAUGACCAGUAAUAACAGUGUAAUAACCUGUGUAAUAACCCGUGUAUUACCAUUAUAGUAAAUGUGCUAGAUACUGCAUAGUGUUAUACAUGAAUGUGGCUUUGAACCAUUUCAGAAUAUGAGUGUAUUUUCUUAGGAUUGGAUUCCGGUGCCAGGGAAAGGUUCCCUGACUCUCCGUGUCCCUCUUCACCCAAGGACGAAGAGGAGGUGGUUGUGAGUGCCAUGACUGUCUCAUACCCUAAACCCUCCACCUCAACCCAGGCAGCAUGGGCAGCUCCUGCCCAGACUCUGGACGUUUUUCUGCCCAGACCAUGCCUGGAUGAAGAAGAGGUAGUGCCCAGCACCUCCUUGAAGGACAACUCUGUGACAACCACCCAUGCAGCACUGGCAGCUCCUUCCCAGAGCCUGGAAGAAGAGGUGGGAGAAGCUGAGGUGUCCCACGUGAGUGAGAGCUCCCUGAUGCCCACCAAGGCCAUUGAGAAGAUUCCCUCCCUCAUACCAGGCAAGAUCCUUAUCGAGGAGGACACCCUCAGUUGCAGCACUCCCUGGGCCACCGUCAUGAGCCCCCAGACCCUGAAGUUCAUCCUCCACGGCAUCAUGUGCCGACUGGAGGCCUCAGAGUCCCCCCAGACAAGGAGGGCCAAUGACCCCUUCAGGCUGAUGAAGGAUCUCUUUCUGGAGGUCCAGCAUGCCCUGAAGUAUGCUGACAUCUCUGUCCUCUUUGGCCUGGAGGAGAGCAUCCAAUUCAUUGGGGAGGAUGCGGUGAAGGCCAUCGUGAAGACUGCAGCUAAAAGAUUGUCCCUGCGUUCGGACUCCAACCGGGCUCAACUGCGUGCCGCACGCUCUGGUGGUGAGGCAGCCAUCAGGUGCAUGGCGGACACCAUCACACAAGUCAUAGAUGACUAUUCCGAGGACUGGAGUUCCGGUGGCCAUUUUGGAGCCAGGAGGAGCCGUGCUAGUGGGAGGUCACACUCCUCAACCUCCUCAAGGAGUGAAGUUACCCUCACCGAGGAGCUCCUGGCCCGGAGGGAAUCCCUUGAAGAGGACCUAGCGGAGAUGGCUGAUGACAGCACUGGUUUGGAGAAGACCAUUGUAAGCUCAGCCAUCUCUGCCAAGUCCCAGGUAAUUAGCUACAUUUCAGACAGCUCCGAGCCCAACAGCUGUGCCCUCUUCACAGACCUCGAGGACAUCACCUCCACACAUGUGAGACAGACAAGAACUAGUAGAUUGUUUAGUUAUUUGGGCUGUUUGAUUGUGAGGCAUCAACUCAAAUCUGUUUCUCUCUCUACGAAGGAGAAGGAGAAGGAAGAGGCUAUGAAGGAAGAAGUGAGGAAGUCAGGAAAGAAGAGGCGAAGAAAUAACAAGGACCAGAAGAAGAACAAGGUGUCUCCUCUUGGCAAUGAUAGUACUGUGGCUGCAGAUGAGCCGAAGAAAAAACAGUCUCUCCUCCCGCGGAUCACAGCUGCCCUGGCAAGACUAUUUUGCUUCCCCUGCAAAAAAAAGAUGCAAAAAGUAACUGCAGAGACGAGUUUGGGAAACCCUGAUACCACCUCCCCCAACCCACUUUCUAAAAAAACAUCAGUGCCACCAGAAGAGGGAGACAACCCCCCCUAACUAAUUUGAUUACCCCCCCAUUUAAUUUAAUAAACACAACUUUCAGCUAUUUUGAUCUUCUUUACUUUUUUUUUUACAGACCCACCUGCAUGCUAUAGAUUCGUAAGGUCAAUUUGCUGUGUACUGUCUACAGUAUCAUUGUUAUGAGUAGGUUCACUGUGUCAGUCAUUAUUUUUACCUUUAUUUAACUAGGCAAGUUAGUUUAGAACAAAUUCUUAUUUUCAAUGACGACCUAGGAACAUUGGGUUAACUGCCUUGUUCAGGGGCAGAACAACAUAUAUUUUAGGCUACCUGUCGCUAUAUAGGUAUAGGCUAAAUGCCCUAACCUAAUUGCAAUUUACAUAAUAAGAGUUACAAUAGAAUAAUUCCCUAAUUGUAUCUUUCUUGAGAGGGAAUAAAUCUCUAAUACACUAUACUCAAUACCAUACAGUAAGCUCCACUCUAUACCGAUGCAAGCCCCGCCUCCCCGCAGAAUAAAGAAUAGACACGAGUGGAUAAUUGCGGUGUCACUACAAAGGAUACCUUAAUUAAGCCAAUUCAUUGGCUGUGUUGUAAUCUGAUUGGUGUGUGUACCACCUAAUGCAAAAGGUGUAAAAACGCUGAAGCACUCCAUUCUGUUCAUGAUUUCUAUUUAUGAUUGACGCUGCUGUUUAAAGCUAUAUUUUUUAAUGUCUGCCUUAUUUGCAUUAUUACACAUUUGGAGAGGACAGGGGAGAUAGGGUGGACAGCUCCCUGUCUAGUAGUUGUAGCUGUAGUAUCUGGGAUCUACAUCUGUUUAUAUUAGUUACUGUGCUGUUACUAAGCAGUAAUGCAUUACGGCAGUGUUACGUUACUACACCUAAUAGGAAAUGCAGAUGCGCACUGGAAUGCCGCGAACUGUAGAGCACGAGGGGUUUUGACUAAACGAAAUCUAACUGUACUCUCGUCUCCUGCCUGGUCAUUUCUCCACAACACAAAUAUUACAGUGGCGACGAGGUGAUUAAACUACAUAAACGGACAUUGCUUGAAGGGAAGAAUGUUGCUUGAGUAAUGAAACUCAAAAUAAUUAUGUAAUUCGUCAGUUAUAUUUAUUUUCUUUCGCCAGUAGAGAAGUCUAAGCACUGCUAGUACAGUAUUCAGGAGCUGCCAAGUAGCAAGACUAUUGGAGUCCAGAAUAGCGACACUACCCAUUGAAAUUAGGCGAUCUCAGUGGAGAAAUAUUGACAAGGGGGAAAAAAAGGAAGAAGGGACGUACAUUAAUACAAAUGAGUGCAGUGAAUGAAGUAAUUGCAGAAACUUCUGAAGUGAAGAAGUAGAUGACUAUUCAGAAAAUUAAGGAAUAUAAGGAAACUGAACAAUUAACUGUGAAAAUGGCAACCAUCGGUCGAGUACCAGAGUUUGAGGCUACAAAAGAGGAUUUUGAUUCCUAUUUGGAGCGUUUUGAGCGUUGGCUGAUAAACCCAUCAAUGAUUAGAUUUAUUUGACCAUAAUAAUUUGUUUGGUCCAUAUUAUUGACACUAAAUAGAGGUUAUUUUAACCGUAGCUGUUAAAAGUCCAACAGUGGGAGUGUGCAGCAGACUAAUGAUGGCGCGACUUUAAUUCUUGACUAUUUCAGUUAUGGCCAACAGAGGGCAACAUUUAUCCAUAAAAUACGAUUAAACCUCACUGAACCAAAGUGAAUUGGGUUACACUGUAAACUUUAUAGAGAUUUCGUAUGUGAUCAGAAACGAUGCAUUCAUUUCCCAGAGUGGUCGCACUGUGUUAUUGUAGUUGACGUAAUCGUGUACAAUGGCAUGACGUAAUAUAUGAGCCUAUGACUUAAACGCACUCAAGAGAAGGUUCAGUGCUUACUUCUGGCUCAGUUGAGUUGAUGAUUUACAAAGGAGAGUCAUCCUCAUGUUCAAAUAAAUCACUUUGAGUGGACAAAGAUGACAUUCUGUGAGUACAGCAAAACGGGCCAAGAUUUUGUAAAAAAAAA